rnacentral:rRNA from 1 species
AUUGAACGCUGGCGGCAGGCCUAACACAUGCAAGUCGAACGCGUGGCGGACGGGUGUGUAAUGUCUGGGAAACUGCCCGAUGUAGGGGGAUAACUACUGGAAACGGUAGCUAAUACCGCGUAUCCUCUGAUGUGCCCACAUGGGAUUAGCGUGUAGGGGGGGUAACGGCGCACCUAGGCGACGAUCCCUAGCGGGUCUGAGAGGAUGACCAGCCACACUGGAACGGAGACACGGUCCAGACUCCUACGGGAGGCAGCGGGGGGGAAUAUUGCACAAUGGGCACAGGCCUGAUGCAGCCAUGCGGCGUGUAUGAAGAAGGCCUUCGGGUUGUAAAGUACGUUCAGCGGGGAGGCGUUACCCGCAGAAGAAGCACCGGCUAACUCCGUGCCAGCCGCCGCGGUAAUAC